rnacentral:lncRNA from 1 species
AGACUACUCCAUAAACUGAGCUAAGCAGCGUGGGGCUUGAGAGGCUGAGUCCGACUUUGAAAGAAGUUCUAAUGUGGGGAAAACGCAAUCAGCAUUGCAUGCUACAGAGAAAUCGUGCAUGACAGGAAGAGUUAAUCGAUUUGGUAGCCUUCGUCGUGGUCUUAUUUUAAGAAAUUGCCACAGCCAGCCCAGCCUUCAGCAGCCCCCACCCUGAUCCAUCAGCAGCAUCAAUGUGCAGGCAGGACCCUCCACCAGCAAAAAGACUGUGACUCACUAAAGCCUCAGAUGAUUGUUCAACCUCUUUAGCAAGAAAAUAUUUUUUAAAAUUAAGGGUUUUACAUGCGCACAUAUGGUCCUCCUAGUUAAUUUGAAAACUGACUCUGGCUGCAGCCGGGACAACGUGGGAUCCUCAACCUGUUGCGCCACUGCGAGAAGACUGGGGAGUAAUUCUAACUCCCGUGACUUCGUCGUGCCUCGAAGUAGAAGUCUAGACAUCUGGAUUUGGACAUCUGGAUUCAUCCCUUGCUGUAUCCUCUAGGUUCUUUAAGGACACCGUCAAAGAUGGUGACCGACGCAGACCCUUGUAAAACGUCACAAGACUGGCAUACUUGUAGGUGAUAAGGACGGAGAAAUAAAACAUAGGAUCUCAGCCCGGCCUUACAGGUGCUGCCCAAAGUCACAACAUCUGGAGCGCAGCCUGGAGCUGAGACGCGGGGGCUCUGCCGUGAGCCUGCUCGGCCCGGCCCCGAGGCUGGGCGCUCUCAUCCGGACCUGCUUUGGUGCAGGAGAGCAGGAUGGCAGCGGCCGGGAGGUUUCGCAUCCAGACUGAGCCAGGGUGAAGGCCUCCGAGCAGCGGCAGUUUCUCCUUCCAGGGGGACCUUCAGCCCCUCCGUCCGCUUUCGGCAGGUGGUGUGUGCAUGGGGAGCACACGUCCCGAGGGCUUGGCUCCGGCUCUGCCAUUGACCGUCCCGUGACCCUGGGCUCUAACUUCUUGCUGAGCCUCCGUUUUCUCUCGGGCAAAAUGCAGGUGCUAAUCAUCCCCACUUCAUGGAUUGCUGGGAUCACAUCUCUGUUGUGGAAAACUUUAGGGUAAACUAAAGUGAGCUAGAGGCAGAACAUCGGGUCUGGGCCGUGUGUCUGCCGAUUGGCUAGUUUAACCUUGAGAAAAACCUCUGCCACUGCCUGCCCGUCUGUUUCCGGUCUCCAAGCCCAGAUCUUUCUCUUCGCAGGCCCCAGACACGCCCCUGGUACAUGGAGAUAUCUCAUACUGGCAAUAAUAUAACAUUUCUUUUAUUUGAUGAUGUUAUUGAAUAAUUUUUUAUUUUUAAUCUAAGCAAACACUUAAGUUUAAAAAAACUAGUAACUAUGAAUCUUAACAUAGAAAUGUUAGCCCCUGCCUGUCUUCCACCCAGUGCCGAUCCACCACUUCCACUGCUUUUAACUGGUUUAUCUGGAAAUAGCUCUACAUGUCUAAACAGCAUCCUUACUCUACAAGUCUUGAUGAUUUUUAAGUUUUAAUUGUUACCUGUUGACUUCCUAGCAUGGGAAGAAAGGAUUUAACCCUCCCCUCCCGUCAGUCACGGACACAGACACACCCCUCCGCACCCCCCACCCUCCUCUUCCAUCCGUUCUGUAUGCGGAUCGUACGUUUUGGUGGGAUAUUCGGAUGUCACACUGGGUUCACAGUUAAGUCAGAUAACAUGUGUGAUGACACGCAGCUGCACGUCUUUGCGUACACAAAUUGUUUCCCUGAAGGUAAUAAUUGCAUUGCUUUCCUGUUUGCUGAGUGUUCUCCUGGUAUCACUCGUUCGGCCCAGAAUCUUUAUAAAAGUGUCGCAUGUCCUUUCACUGCACCCGCACACGUGUGCCAUCUCUCAGCCCCUGGAGCCCAUGUCUCUGGGGGUCCCACCUCCUUGGUUCCGCGCUGGGCUGGCCGCUCUCGAGACCCACCGCGUCACCGCAUCCCCGGGCUCCCGGGCCUGGGCUCCGUUCCCGUCCUCCUGGGGAACGCGGCCCCCCCCUCGCUCUGCUGUGGCUUCUCUGCCUCCUGGAUCCCGUGGCUUCUUCCUGCUUGUUUUCCUCCUUCGCUUUGUAGAAGCACGUUGUCCAGUAAUGUCUCCAAAAGAGGAAGGAUGGCUUUUGUUUCUGGAGGGUGCACACCUGAAACGGUCUUUAUUCCACGCUUCCAUGUGGUUGAUUAUUUGAUUGGACACAGAAUUACCAAUACAGCUCAGAAACAUUUUUUCUCCCGAUUUUAAACCAUUAUGCCAUUGCUGUUAUUGUCAGGUGUGCUUCGGAUUUUCAGUACUUUCUAGGCGAACUGUUUUUUGUUUUAUUUUUUUUUUAUCACUGUUAACUUUAAACGUGUUCUCUCUAACUCUAGUGUCUUGAAACUUCACAGACAGAUAUUUUGAUGUAGGUCUUUUUCCUUUACUGUUCUACAUUGCCAGGGGACCCUUUCAAACUGGAAACUUAUCUUUCUCUUUUUACAUAGUUAAAAUAAUUCUGUUCAAAUAAUAUUUUCUAAUA